GUCUAUUAGCACGUGGUAGAUUUAAGUUGGGAAAUGAAUAAAUUAAUGUAAUUGAAUAAGAGUGAUCAUCUUACAUGACAAAUCAUCAAAUAGUCCUCACAGUUCAGCCAAUGAUACAUAAAUGAUAGCCACCUCCAAAUUUUUCAGUACACAUGGACAAUAAAGAUGUAGAACCAGUUGCAUUAAGUCUUUAAGAGAGUAAAAUUUUAGCACAGAUUUUGAAAUUGUAAUAUCUUUUACUAUUUGAAAAUUUAAAAUUUUUAAAUGAGAAGGGUAGAUGAAUGGAACUUUAGAAGAAAAAGAGAAAGUAUUUGGUUCUCAAAAUAAAUUUAAACUUCAUCCUAAAAAUAGCACAAGCCCACUUAUGAAUCACUGAAUAAAAAGUGAAAAACUUGAGUUGGCAACAACUCAGAGCAGCUGUGCAGAUGGCAAUGAACCCUCUCUUGUUUUGUACGGAAAAAUGCAGAAUAAAGGAAGGGGCCUUCUUGGGUCUCCAUGAACUCCUCAAAAGAUGAGGAGACAGAACCCCUACCCCAAGUACUCUGUAUUAGUUGGAUGACUGGAGCAUUAAGAGAAGGCAGAAAAGUGUACAAGCAGGGCCAGUUCUGAUACAAGCAAGGACUUUGAGAGGGACAGUGGAAGGGUCUUCUUCAUGCCCCGUACCUUCUUUGUGAUGAUAAGACUAGAGCUUAUAACCAUGCUUCCAUUUUUUUCUUCUCUGAAUACCAAAGGCAAUUAAAGUCAGCUACAAAUGACUUGCCACUGUCAUUGUUUAUAUUUGUUAUAGAUUUUUUAAUUAUUUUCUCCAAAAUCAAUCCUUAUCCCAUAUUCUGCUUAGUUUCCAAGAGUAUUCUUUCUUCUGUCCUUGAUAGCCCUUUAUAUUUUGUAGAUCUUAUUACUCAGGUUAAUACUCAUUGCAUUAUAAGACCUUCUGCAAAGAGCCUAAAAAUGCCCCUUUCCAGGUGCCUCCUCAAAGAGUUGACACCUCACCUUGUGCCUUUGGCACAAAUGUGCAGAAUAGAUAGAUCAGUUGGUACAUAAAUGGAAAUAAAAAAAUGCUGAACACCCCUCUACCUUUUACAUUUAUUUCUCUUCAUUUUAGUAUCAAACUUUUGGUUCAAACUAGAUUUUUUUUUUUAUAUCAAACAAUAUAAAGUUGUUAAAACCAAGAGAAUGGGGCCCUAACCAAAAAGAAGUCUCAUUGCAGAAAAUAAGGCCCCAGUCAGGGGGUUCUUUCUGGUGGGCUGCACAUUUUAUGUCUCUCUGACACCAACUUAUUCCUGUGUUUGAGUAGGUGUUUGUGUGUAAGGGUAAAGCCUGGGCAUUGAAGAAAUGCAUUCUUUUUGUGGAGUAUUGACCCUGAUUCUCUAUGAUGUCAUCUAGGCCAACCCAGGGCUUCACUUGGUAGAUUUUAACAAAGCAGUUUGAAAUCUUGAUCAUCAGCUCCUCAUCUUCUCCACUCUCCAUUGCCAAAAUCUUUGUCAAGACUCUUAAAUUUGUUGAUAAAAGAUUGUGCUUGCCAUUCUCAUUAUAAUAAAUUUUCUCCUUAA